rnacentral:lncRNA from 1 species
AAAGGUCAAGCAUCCGGUAGAUUACGUAGUAACGUCAUUCGCCCAAAACACAACCCUUAACCCGUAGUUAGCCGAACUACGGUUCGCUCUGAUUCUCAUUCCAGAUGAGAUACGUAGGAAUAAGACGCGAUGUCUUAGCGAGCACACUCCUCUUUAACCCAUAGGUAGCCGAGCUACGAAGACUCUGAUCCUCAUAUUCAGAUGAGAUACGUAUGCAGUGGAUGCAACAUCCGUGCGAGUCAUUUUCUUUUAACCUCU